UGUCUUCUGGUUUGCAUUGGGGUUAAGACGUAUGCAGAGAGGAAUGGUCUGGAAAUGGGGAGCUGCUGCCAUGGGUGUGUGUCAAGUACGCAUCGCACCUCCGUUUCCAUGUGCACAGCAUUGUACAGUUUACAAAACUGUACGUUUGGAUCUAUGCUUGAUCAGCUUAGACAUUCCUUGUCUGGGUCCUGGCUCUGUCCCCGUGCUGGCGUCACAUCUGGCCUGCACAAUAUCUGAGGAAAUACUUUGUUGAAUAAAUGACCUCAGUAGGUUCUCAGGGCUGUCUUGUUUAUAGGGACACAGCAAGUUUUGCCAUUCCAUCCUCUAGGCAGUUUUUUAACCUGGAGUCACAUAGCUGGUAGCUAAAGGAUCUAGGCUUCCCCUGUGCCUUCUGCUUUAUCUUAACCCCAGUAAUUAAAGUAGAAAAGCCACGUUUUGAUCAACUGUGUUUUGAAAGAAGAGAGGGGAGAGCGGUUGUAACCCACAGAGUCUCAAAAAUCAUAGUAGCCUGUUCGAUGUGUAACAGAGAAAAAAAUCUUAAAUAUCUCUUGAUGGUGCUGUCAAGUCAGGUUUUUAUAAUUUAGCGGAAGAACAGAAUACUCACCCCUUCCUUCUUAUACAACCAGAUACUUACUGAAUGUCCGCUCUGUAUCAGGCAUCGUGUGUGUACGGGGCAUAUAACUGAACAAAUGCAGUGCAAACACCUGCCCUUGGCGAGCUUACCUUCUCGUACAGGCACCAGGCUACUAGUAAAUCUGUGAGUAUGUGCUAUAUUUCUGACAAAAAUCAGAACAGGCUGUGUUAGGGGAGAGAGAGUGGUGGGAUGGUUUUAUUUGGAGGAGUCAUGGAAAGCCUUUCAUAGGAUGGGACACUUGGGCAAAGACCUCAGUGAUGUGUAGGUGGGGGGGCGGGGCCAAGGUGAGAAUCAGGGGAGGAGCAAGGCAGGUGGAGAGAAUGGCACAGCAAAGGCCCUGAGGUCGGGAAGAGCCUUUAAGUCUGGAGUGAGAGGCAAGAGGACUUGGAUUUUGUUGUAUGUGUGAUAGGAUACUGAGUUACUUUCCUAGGGCUGUCCUAACAAAUUACUACAAACUUAAAGCCGCAGAAAUUUGUUCCCUCACAAUUCUAGACAGCACAAGUCUGAAAGCAAGCAGUCAGGCUCCCUCUCAAGGUUCCAGGGGAGAAUCUUUCCUUGCCACCUGCAACUUCUGGUGACUCCAGGCAUCCUUGACUUGUGGCUGCAUCACUCCAUCUUUGCCUCUGUCUUCACUGGCCUUCUCUUCCGUGUCUGUGUCUUGUCUUCUUCUGUCUCAUGUAAGGACACUGGUCAUUGGAUUUAGGGCCCACCCAGGUAAUCCACGAUGACCUCAUCAAAAGAGCCUUAACUUAAGUUCAUCUGCAUCUUUUUCCAUAUAAGGUCAUGGUCACAGGUUCUGGGACAGGAGCACAUCCUUGAGGGGCCCAGUAUUCAACCCAUUACAGGAACUGUGGAGGAUGUUGAAGCAGAGGGAGUGAUGGCAUCUAGUAUGUUUUUAAAAGAGAGCUCUGGUGCUGCAGAAGCAUGAUUUUAGGUGGAUGAAGAACCGCCUGAGGAGCCUGGUAGUGGGGGGCUCUUGCAGUGGCCCAGAUGAGAUAAGGUUGAGGGGGGGAUGGAGAAAAAGCAUGGGUUUCAGUUCUUCAAUCCCAUGGGAGCAGGUGCGACUUGUUGAUGGCUUAGAAGUAGUUAGGAAAGAAAGAAAAUCCAGGAUCAUGGUGCCCUUUACAGAGAAGGGGAAGAUGGUUUUGGAGCGGGAGCACACGGGGGCAGAGGUGGUGCCGUCCAGAGUUCUGUUUGGGGUAUGUGAGCUGGGAGGAAGGGAGAUGUUGGGCAUUAAUUUACACGCAUGGAUCUUCAGCUCGGUGUGUAUAUAAAUUUGAGCUUUUGGAGUUUCUGUUGUGGCUCAGAAGGUUAAGGACCUGAUCUUGUCUCUGUGAGGAUGCAGGUUCUAUCCCUGGCCUUGCUCAGCGGGUUAAGGAUCCAGCGUUGCUGAGAGCUGCAGUGUAGGUCACAGAUGCUGCUCAGCUCUGGUGUUGCUAUGGCUGUGGUGCAGGCCAGUAGCUGCAGCUGCAAUUUGAGCCCUAGCCUCAGAACUUUCAUAUGCCCAGGGCCUGGGAACUUUCAUAUGCUGCAGGUGUGGCU
rnacentral:lncRNA from 1 species